rnacentral:rRNA from 1 species
ACCCCUGACUUACUACGCAACCGCGGACGGCUCAUUAAAUCAGUCGUGGUCCUUAGGGGCUAGUUAUCACUUAAUUGGAUAACUGUGGUAAUUCCAGAGCUAAUACAUGCAACUGUCAAUAUUCCUGAUUGUGGAGCUGUACGCGCGCCGUCGCUCGUGCGUAUUGUCUCCCGAUCUCGGAUGCUUUUAUUAGACCAAAGAUCGCGCUGAGAGAGAAGAGAGUUUCCGGUUCUUCUCUUUUUGACUCGUGUUGAGAUUGGUGACUCCGGAUAACAAAUCACGGACAAGCGAUCGUAUCCAUUAAGUUGGAGCGUCGCUGCCUCUUUCGAGUGUCUGCCUUAUCAGCUAUGAAUCGUUGGUUAUGCGCUAACGAUGGCUUUGACGGGUAACGGGGAAUCAGAGUUCGGUUCCGGAGAGGCAGCCUGAGAAACGGCUACCACGUCCAAGGACGGCAGCAGGCACGCAAAUUACCCAAUCCCAGAACCCUAACGCGUGCGCUUACAUCUCUGUUCAUAUAUAUCUAUCUCUGGCGCAUGCUUGAUCUCCAAACCCGUGUGUUUGAGUGAGAUAGUGUGUGUCGAGUAAUAUAUGGAGAUACGGCCUCGUGAUUGUACGGGGGAGGUAGUGACCAACCCUAACGAUGCGGGCGUCCCUUACGGGUCCCCGCAAUCGGAAUGAGCGCAAUUUUUCUUUCUAAACAACCCGUUGAGAACCUACUGAAGGGCAAGUCUGGUGCCAGCAGCCGCGGUAAUUCCAGCUUCAGUGGCAUCUAUCAAUGUUGUUGCGGUUAAAAGGCUCGCAGUUGAAUGUCAGUAAGGAGGGCAGUGAAGUGGACGUUGGAUAGAGAGAGAUGAGUUCAAUCAAAGUGUGUGGCUCAUGGAUCGAAGAUUUGUCAUCGACUCGCUCUUGUAAAUCUUUUUCACUUUCGCGAUGAGCGUAUGCAGUGUAUCGAGCCGUGUCUCAAACACACUGUGUGCGUGAGCGAUCGCGACAGAGUGUAGGUAUAGCGUUUUGAUUCUGUCCUUCUUUUGGGUAACACUGUAAACAUACACUGGUACACUUGCUCUCUUUCUCGUAAUAUAAAUAUCCCGUCCGUUACAAGCUUCCGCACUCCUAUACUUUCGGAUCUAAUACAUGCAAACGUAUGAACGAUCGGUCCGUCAAUAUAUAUUCAGAGAGAGUGUCGUUCGCCUGCGAGAGUGUGUGUUAACCCAUGCAUGAGUAGCGCGCGUUCGUCGUGUAAAUCUCGUCGACGUUUGUAUAGACUGGUCGGUAUUGGAGAGCACACCCUGAGUAAAUCAGAGUGCUCAAAGCAAUCGUAAGUCGUGCGUUUUACAUACAUUCCCUUUCCUGGGAGUUGUGUAUAUGCGCGCGUCGUGAAGCUCAAAAGUUAUUGAAAUCUGGCUAUACAAAAAGAUUGAUCUCCCACCGCGGGAUUUCUUUCUUGGGAAAUGUUUGUUACAAAAAACUAAGGAUGGUCUUGAUUUUGCACGGAACGUCGAAAGAUGCCGUCUGAAGGUUUUUUCGAAUGUGAAAGAACUUGAUCCCGUUGGGUAGCGAGUCCAGUGCGGUGUGUACGUUUUGGUCUUUUGUCUCUCCCUGUAUAGAGAGAGCUCUAGGCUAUACAUACCUACGCGGCCAACGGGUACGGAAUGCUUAAGAGGGACGAUCGAGGGCAUUGGUAUUGCGAGGCGAGAGGUGAAAUUCAAUGACCCCCGCAAGACUACCCUGCGGCUUAUUUGACUCAACACGGGUAAUCUCACCAGGCCAGCACUCUUGUACGAUUGACAGAUUGAGAGUUCUUUCUCGAUUCAGUGGAUGGUGGUGCAUGGCCGUUCUUAGUUGGUGGAGUGAUCUGUCUGGUUAAUUCCGAUAACGAACGAGACUCUCGCCUGCUAACUAGUCGGUUGGAUCUCGCGUAAAGAAAGUUGUGUCCGUGUGUGUCUCUUUGCAUGUAUCUCGAUCUAUAUAUUUUUCGCUCUCGCGGGCGUCUAGUAUAGAGAGAGUGUGUGUGGGGCACAUGUGUGUAUACCACUUCGAGUCCACCGCUUAAGUGUAAGUGAGAUGUGGUUCGCGGUGUAAUGCUGCGUGUCUACACUCCUGCUUAAUAUUCUUCUUAGAGGGAUCCAAGGCGCUCAGAAGCCUUAAAAAUUGGAGAGCCAUAACAGGUCUGUGAUGCCCUUAGAUGUUCUGGGCCGCACGCGCGCUACAAUGCCUCACUCAUCUGGUCCCGACACAUAACUUGCUUGUGCAAAACAAUGUGUCUCUGCUUCGCAAGGAGUGGGCAACCCAUUGAAAGUGAUCUUUGUCCCCGAAAGUCUAUGUUGCGUGCGUGUGUAUACAUGCGCGUAAUAUAUUUGGCGUGAUUGGGCCUGGGUUUUGUAACUAUCUCCCACCAACGAGGAAUGCCUAGUAGGGGCGAGUCACUGAACUCGCCCCGAUUAAGUCCCUGCCCUUUGUACACACCGCCCGUCGCUACUACCGAUUGGGUGUACCAGUGAGAUCUUUGGACCGUUAAGUAUCUCUCGCGUUUAUUCGUGAGCGUGUCUAUAUAAUGGAAAGAGGUUCGAACUGGUGUGCUUAGAGGAAGUAAAA